rnacentral:rRNA from 1 species
UACGUAGGGGGCUAGCGUUGUCCGGAUUUAUUGGGCGUAAAGAGCGUGUAGGCGGCCAGGUAGGUCUGCUGUGAAAACUCGAGGCUCAACCUCGAGACGUCGGCGGAAACCAUCUGGCUAGAGUCCGGAAGAGGAGAGUGGAAUUCCCGGUGUAGCGGUGAAAUGUGCAGAUAUCAGGAGGAACACCAAUAGCGAAGGCAGCUCGCUGGGACGGUAUUGACGCUAAGGCGCGAAAGCGUGGGGAGCAAACAGG